rnacentral:rRNA from 1 species
AUAGCGGAGGAAAGAAACCAACAGGGAUUGCCUCAGUAACGGCGAGUGAAGCGGCAAUAGCUCAAAUUUGAAAUCUGGCUCUUUCAGAGUCCGAGUUGUAAUUUGUAGAGGAUGCUUCGGCUUACGUUUCGGUCUAAGUUCCUUGGAACAGGACGUCACAGAGGGUGAGAAUCCCGUUUGUGGCCGAGACUUCCGCCAUGUGAAGCUCCUUCGACGAGUCGAGUUGUUUGGGAAUGCAGCUCUAAAUGGGAGGUAUAUUUCUUCUAAAGCUAAAUACCGGCCAGAGACCGAUAGCGCACAAGUAGAGUGAUCGAAAGAUGAAAAGCACUUUGGAAAGAGAGUUAAAAAGUACGUGAAAUUGUUGAAAGGGAAGCGCUUGCGACCAGACUUGCCCGCGGAUGCUCAACCGGUCCUUCGGCCGGUGCACUCUUCCGCGGUCAGGCCAGCAUCAGUUCGAGCGGUCGGAUAAAGGCCUUGGGAAUGUGGCUCUCUUCGGGGAGUGUUAUAGCCCUUGGUGUAAUACGGCCCGCCUGGACUGAGGCCCGCGCUUCGGCUAGGAUGCUGGCGUAAUGGUCGUAAGCGGCCCGUCUUGAAACACGGACCAAGGAGUCUAACAUCUAUGCGAGUGUUUGGGUGUCAAACCCGUGCGCGAAAUGAAAGUGAACGGAGGUGGGAACCUUAGGGUGCACCAUCGACCGAUCCUGAUGUCUUCGGAUGGAUUUGAGUAAGAGCAUAGCUGUUGGGACCCGAAAGAUGGUGAACUAUGCCUGAAUAGGGUGAAGCCAGAGGAAACUCUGGUGGAGGCUCGCAGCGGUUCUGACGUGCAAAUCGAUCGUCAAAUUUGGGUAUA